rnacentral:rRNA from 1 species
UACGAAGGGUGCAAACGUUGCUCGGAAUUAUUGGGCGUAAAGCGCACGUAGGCGGCUUGGCAAGUCGGAUGUGAAAGCCCUCGGCUCAACCAAGGAAGUGCAUCCGAAACUGCUGAGCUUGAGUACUUAAGAGGAUCGCGGAAUUCCCGGUGUAGAGGUGAAAUUCGUAGAUAUCAGGAGGAACACCGGUGGCGAAGGCGGGUCUCUGGGCCGAUACUGACGCUGAGGAGCGAAAGCGUGGGGAGCGAACAGG